ACCAUGUUUCACAAUCCUGUGCCAGUGUUUCCCGUGUCUCACAAUCAAUUCUAAAAUUCUUCAGCGGAACCUUGAGAAGAUUGUUGUAUUGCUUCUUCUGAGCUGCAUGUAAAGAGCUGACUUGGUUCCUCCCAACUCAGACAUCCACAAUUAGGAGCCAGGUCAAACCCAGAUGUGACAUUCUAUGAGCAGCGGUCUUUUCAGACUGACUCUGCAUUUUCUAAGUAUCCUGCAGUCACUGAGUCAUCAAGGUCCAUGGGCAGGAUACAAGUCAAGAAGACCAGUGAAGGCCCACGAUGCACUGGAUGACCUUGACAUCUCUGAUGUGUGACAGAGCUCUAAGUACUCUACAUCACUUGUGUCAGUUACCACCAUUGUUCUCAUCUGCCCAUUCCUGAGGGAAGCCUUCACUUGGGGUAGACAUCUCCUAACUUACUGAGGGGUCUGAGGCCUGUCAGUUACCCUCAAUCUGGUUUAUCCCAUCUACAAAAAUAAUUUUACUAGAGGUGGCUGAUGUGCAUGCUAUAGCUCCUUAGAGCCAUAGGUGAGAAUUGAGUAUCAAGUAGACACCAAAGUUGGAUGAGGCUCCUGGAAAGGAGGGGGAGGGAAGAUAUAUGACAAAAACUCAAUUGGAAGGUAAAUAAAUAAACACUGGCUGUUUUGAUUACUACUAAAUGUGUCAAAUAUUUGUAUUUCCCUCUCUCUCUUCCUCCUUAACAGUCCAGGAAGCAGGGGAGAGCAAAAAGUGAGGAUCCUAUCAUUUCUGAAUAUCAGUUAUGCCAUCUCAUCCCCCAGAUUCCUGAAGGCACCAUAGAGCCCUACUAAGUGUCUAGAAUUCAGAAUAACCUCAGCUAUGUACUGGGUAGGAAGCACAAAUAGAAAUGAAUGACAGUUGUGUGGAUCUGGGGGGAGGGCAGGCUAGUGAACUACAAACUACAUAUUGAUGCCCCUUCUAAGACCUUAACUUCCCAGUUUUUCCUCUAUUUGCUAUAUCCCCAUGCCUCAAGACAUCUCAAAGUCAGCGUGUUAAAAACCAAACAAAAAACCUCAUCAAUUCUCCUUUCUUCCAAAUUUUUCUAUUACUGUUGAGAAUUCCACUGUCCUCUCAGUCAUUCAGAUUUGUAGCUUCCAUGUCCACCCCAACUCCUUGCUCAAAUACACCCCAUACAUCCAAUGGGUUGUCAAGUUCUGAUGAUUCUACCUUCAUAUAUUCUUAUAUCCUUCAUACGCUCUUGUAUACUUCUCUUUUUCUACAUGCCCAGCUACCGCUAUAAUGAAGGCACCUCAUACCUGGAUUGUUGCAGUAGUCUUUUGAUAGCUUUGACACGUAAUUAUUCACUCCAAUCCAUCCUCCACUCAUUUCCCAGAGAUUUUUCUAACAUGCUGUUCUGAACCUCUCUCUGUCCCUGUCUGUCUCUGUCUCUGUCUCUGUCACACACACACACACACACACACA